rnacentral:rRNA from 1 species
AGUGGCGAACGGGUGAGUAAUGCGUGACCGACCUGCCCCAUACACCGGAAUAGCUCCUGGAAACGGGUGGUAAUGCCGGAUGCUCCGACUCCUUGCAUGGGGUGUCGGGAAAGAUUUCAUCGGUAUGGGAUGGGGUCGCGUCCUAUCAGGUAGUCGGCGGGGUAACGGCCCACCGAGCCUACGACGGGUAGCCGGCCUGAGAGGGCGACCGGCCACAUUGGGACUGAGAUACGGCCCAGACUCCUACGGGAGGCAGCAGUGGGGAAUAUUGCACAAUGGGCGCAAGCCUGAUGCAGCGACGCCGCGUGCGGGAUGACGGCCUUCGGGUUGUAAACCGCUUUUGAUCGGGAGCAAGCCUUCGGGUGAGUGUACCUUUCGAAUAAGCACCGGCUAACUACGUGCCAGCAGCCGCGGUAAUACGUAGGGUGCAAGCGUUAUCCGGAAUUAUUGGGCGUAAAGGGCUCGUAGGCGGUUCGUCGCGUCCGGUGUGAAAGUCCAUCGCUUAACGGUGGAUCUGCGCCGGGUACGGGCGGGCUGGAGUGCGGUAGGGGAGACUGGAAUUCCCGGUGUAACGGUGGAAUGGUGUAGAUAUCGGGAAGAACACCAAUGGCGAAGGCAGGUCUCUGGGCCGUUACUGACGCUGAGGAGCGAAAGCGUGGGGAGCGAACAGGAUUAGAUACCCUGGUAGUCCACGCCGUAAACGGUGGAUGCUGGAUGUGGGGCCCGUUCCACGGGUUCCAUGUCGGAGCUAACGCGUUAAAGCAUCCCGCCUGGGGAGUACGGCCGCAAGGCUAAAACUCAAAGAAAUUGACGGGGGCCCGCACAAGCGGCGGAGCAUGCGGAUUAAUUCGAUGCAACGCGAAGAACCUUACCUGGGCUUGACAUGUUCCCGACAGCCGUAGAGAUACGGUCUCCCUUCGGGGCGGGUUCACAGGUGGUGCAUGGUCGUCGUCAGCUCGUGUCGUGAGAUGUUGGGUUAAGUCCCGCAACGAGCGCAACCCUCGCCCUGUGUUGCCAGCACGUCAUGGUGGGAACUCACGGGGGACCGCCGGGGUCAACUCGGAGGAAGGUGGGGAUGACGUCAGAUCAUCAUGCCCCUUACGUCCAGGGCUUCACGCAUGCUACAAUGGCCGGUACAACGGGAUGCGACAUGGCGACAUGGAGCGGAUCCCUGAAAACCGGUCUCAGUUCGGAUUGGAGUCUGCAACCCGACUCCAUGAAGGCGGAGUCGCUAGUAAUCGCGGAUCAGCAACGCCGCGGUGAAUGCGUUCCCGGGCCUUGUACCCACCGCCCGUCAAGUCAUGAAAGUGGGUAGCACCCGAAGCCGGUGGCCUAACCCCUUGUGGGAUAGAGCCGCCCACGAUGAGGGUCGUGAUUGGGACUAAGUCGUAACAAGGUAGCCGAAUCACUAGUGAAUUCGCGGCCGCCUGCAG